ensembl:misc_RNA Metazoa_SRP Metazoan signal recognition particle RNA
GCUGGGCAUGGUGGCGCAUGCCUGUAAUCCCAGCUACUCAGGAGGCUGAGGCAGGAGAAUUGCCUGAACCCAGGAGGCCGAGGUUGUAGUGAGCUGAGAUUGUGCCAUUGCACUCCAGCCUGGGUAACAAGAGCAAAACUCUGUCUCAA